rnacentral:rRNA from 1 species
GCCUAUGGUACUGCGCGGGAAACCGCGUGGAAGAGUCGGUCGCUGCCAGCC